rnacentral:rRNA from 1 species
GACUAACGCUGGCGGCGUGCCUAACACAUGCAAGUCGAACGGGUAGCAAUACCCAGUGGCAGACGGGUGAGUAACGCGUAGAUAAUGUGCCCUCUUGCGGGGGAGUACCGUUUCGAAAGGAACGUUAAUACCGCAUAAGACCUUCGAAGGGCGAUCCUUUGUAAGGGACGAAACCUAGAUUCAGGGGACGAGAGGAGCAAUCUGCGUACUAUCAGCUAGUUGGU